rnacentral:rRNA from 1 species
CCUACGAGAGGCAGCAGUGGGGAAUAUUUCACAAUGGGGGAAACCCUGAUGCAGCGACCCCGCGUGAGUGAAGAAGUAAUUCGUUAUGUACAGCUCUAUCAGCAGGGAAGAAAAUGACGGUACCUGAGUAAGAACCCCCGGCUAACUACGUGCCAGCAGCCGCGUUAAUCCGUAGGGGGCAAGCGUUAGCCGGAUUUACUGGGUGGAAAGGGAGCGUAGACGGCAGUGCAAGUCUGGAGUGAAAGGCGGGGGCUCAACCCCCGGACUGCUCUGGAAACUGUACGGCUGGAGUGCAGGAGAGGUAAGUGGAAUUCCUAGUGUAGCGGUGAAAUGCGUAGAUAUUAGGAGGAACACCAGUGGCGAAGGCGGCUUACUGGACUGUAACUGACGUUGAGGCUCGAAAGCGUGGGGAGCAAACAGGAUUAGAUACCCUGGUAGUC